rnacentral:rRNA from 1 species
UCAGGAUGAACGCUAGCGACAGGCCUAACACAUGCAAGUCGAGGGGCAGCGCGGGAGAAGCUUGCUUUCCUGGCGGCGACCGGCGCACGGGUGCGUAACAGGUGUGCAAUCUGUCCAUAGUCGGGGGGAUAGCCCAGCGAAAGCUGAAUUAACACUCCAUGUGAAUCGAAGCCGCAUGACUUUGAUUUGAAACGCAAGGACUAUGGGUGAGCACGCUUCUGAUUAGCUAGUUGGUGGGGUAACGGCUCACCAAGGCGACGAUCAGUAGGGGUUCUGAGAGGAAGGUCCCCCACAUUGGAACUGAGACACGGUCCAAACUCCUACGGGAGGCAGCAGUGAGGAAUAUUGGUCAAUGGGCGAGAGCCUGAACCAGCCAAGUCGCGUGAAGGAAUGAAUGUUCUAUGGAUUGUAAACUUCUUUUGUCCGAGGGUAAAAAAGGCCACGUGUGGCUUCUUGCAAGUAUCGGACGAAUAAGCAUCGGCUAACUCCGUGCCAGCAGCCGC